CUUAGACGAUUCGGCCGACUAUUUCAGCGUUGCGGUACGUGAGGCGCACCACGUGGUUGGGGCUUCGGCCAUCUUGUCUUGCCGCUCCGCGCCGGUCUUCUAUGUGUCGUCGAUUGAGGAGCUUCAGCUAAGACAUUUGCAUCAUUUCUUUUUAUUUUCUUUCUUUUUGAGGUGUCUUGUAAUUAAUUAACUUAAAUUCAAUAGUAGUUUAUAUUAUUCUAGUUCAUAUUCAUAUUCAAAUAACUUUAGUAUUAAUCCAGUUCAUAUUCAAACAACUUUAGUAUUAAUCCAGUUCAUAUUCAUAUACAAAUACAAAUAACUUUAAUAUUAUUCAUAUACAAAUAAUUUUAGUAUUAUUCUAGUUCAUACAGUUUUCUAUUUUCAAUAAUUACAUUUUUUCUAAAAUAUUUUCUAUCUAUAUUUUUCACAAUGUCCGAACCUUCAGUAUCAACUAUGAACAAAGAAUCCGGGAUAAAGGUUUUAAUUGUAAAGCGCAG
rnacentral:misc_RNA from 1 species